AUGGUCAGACUUUCUAAAGCAUCACAGGACCUAUCGAGAAACUCCAGGAUGGUUUCAUCUGGUUUGCUGCCAAAAGGGAAGACUCAGAGAAACCCAGAGAGAGGACGGGGGAGGGAUCCCGUUCUCCCUCCCUCCUCUGAACUGAGAGGGAAAGUUUUCGCACUGGCACUAGGAAUGUGCCUCUCUCCUUCAGCAGGAGGUGCCCUGCAUACCAGGGGACUCCCUUGCCUCUCAUCCACUCGCCCUGACCGAAACUCUGUGACACUCUGCCCUCGUCAGCACACAGCUGCCGUUAAGUUUUCACAGGAAACAAUGAAGACCAUCCCACACUGA
rnacentral:lncRNA from 1 species